CUGAAUGAUGCCUCCUAGGCUUCACUUGUUACAUUUCACUGAAGUAGAAAGCCCCAAUGCUCGUGCUAAAACACCUGCCGUUCAGUGUUGUAGUUUAGCCUCUUGUACCUUUUUUCACGGCUUAUCUGUUUCAAAUCAACGACUACAUCU
rfam:Populus trichocarpa isolate Nisqually-1 chromosome 19, whole genome shotgun sequence.